CUGCUGGAGCAUAGGCUCUUUCGCUCUCUCUCCUCCUCUUCCUGUAGCCAUCAAUGGCCGCGAUGCCACCAUCUUCUAGUGUAAGCCCCAAAACAGUAGACAAAGCUGUAAACGCUCUACUGAAAUGGCGAGCUGCCAAAUCCAAAACUCAGAAACCUCAAUUGCUAGAAAACGAUGAAUACGUGUACCUAAUUUUAACCCUUAAAAAAAUCCCACAAAAGGGUGUUAGCCGCAUCAAUCCCCACAAAAUCUCUCUCCCUAACCCCUUAAUUAACCCUCAAAACGACAGCUCCGAGCUGUGCUUAAUCAUCGAUGACAGACCCAAAUCCGGCCUUACCAAAGACGCUACUAAGAAGAAGAUCCAAAAUGAGAACAUACCCAUCUCCAAAAUCAUCAAGCUGUCCAAGCUCAAGACUGACUACCGUCCUUUUGAGGCGAAAAGGAAACUCUGCGAUUCGUAUGAUAUGUUUUUUGCAGAUAAAAGGGUGAUCCCUCUCUUGCCUAAGAUGCUGGGGAAGCAGUUUUUCAAGAAGAAGAAGAUUCCGGUGGCAGUGGAUUUGAAGCACAAGAACUGGAAGGAGCAGAUUGAGAAGACAUGUUGGUCAGCUUUGUUGUUUCUGAGGACUGGAACUUGUAGUGUGGCUAAGGUGGGAAGGAUUUCAAUGGGGAGAGAGGAGAUAGUGAAUAAUGUUGUGGCUGCUAUAAAUGGGAUUGCGGAGAUUGUGCCUAGGAAGUGGGGUGGUAUUAGGUCUUUCCAUUUGAAGUUGCUUGAUAGCUUGGCUUUGCCCGUUUAUCAGUCGCUUCCUGAUUUGAAGUUGAAGAUUGAAGGGGUUAAGGAAGAGGAGGAAAAGGCGGAAGAUGUUGAGAAAGAGAUGGUUAAGGAGGAGAAAGUGACGAAGAAGAAGGGGAGGAUACAUGAGAUUAGGUAUAUGGAUAACAAUGUCGAUGAGGAUGAUAUCGAGUUGAACAAUUAUGGUGAAGGAAAUGUUGAUGAUUAUGGUGAUAAUGAGGGUAAAAAUGGCUCCCUUGAAGUAGAGGUUAAGAAGAGAAAGAAGGGAGAUAAAGGGAACAAUGAGAAGAUAACUAAAGUGAAGAAAGAGGAUGGCAUCAAGCGAAAGAAAAAUGUAGAAAAAGCAAAAAAUGAGGAUGGUGCUAAGCAAAAGAAGCACAAGAAGCACAAGAAAGAUC
rnacentral:misc_RNA from 1 species